ACCCAAAAAUAACCGCCCGAAGGCCGGGGCGCCAAGUUCGUCCAGUGGAAAAAGGCCACAAAAACGGGUGGGCUAUAGCCUUGGGGGGUGGGGCUGGCAAACUUCGUCCGCCGGACUCGGAAUGCCGCGAGACUUUGCGAGGGGCCUCCGUGUGCCAAAAAUAGGUCGCGGGCAAAGUAGCGCCGAAAAAUAACCGCCCGAAGGCCGGGGUGCCAUGUUCGUCCAGCGGAAAAAGGCCACAAAAACGGGUGGGCUAUAGCCUCGGGGGGUGGGGCUGGCCAACUUCGUACGCCGGACUCGGAAUGCCGCGAGACUUUGCGAGGGCCUCCGUGUCCCAAAAAUAAGCCGCGGGCAAAGCCGUACCCAAAAAUAACUGCCCGAAGGCCGGGGCGCCAAGUUCGUCCAGUGGAAAAAGGCCACAAAAACGGGUGGGCUAUAGCCUUGAGGGGUGGGGCUGGCCAACUUCGUACGCCGGACUCGGAAUGCCGCGAGACUUUGCGAGGGGCCUCCGUGUGCCAAAAAUAGGCCGCGGGCAAAGGGGGGUCCAAAAUAACCGCCCGAAGGCGGGGGCGCCAAGUUCGUCCAGGGGAAAAAGCCCACAAAAACGGGUGGGCUAUAGCCUUGGGGGGUGGGGCUGGCCCACUUCGUCCGCCAGACUCGGAAUGGCGCAAAACUUUGCGAGGUGCCUCUGUGUGCCUAAAAUAGGCCACGGGCACAGCCGUAGCCAAAAAUAACCGCCCGAAGGCCGGGGCGCCAAGUUCGUCCAGCGGAAAAAGGCCACAAAAACGGGUAAGCUAUAGACUUGGGGGGUGGGGCCGGCCCACUUCGUCCGCCGGUAUCGGAAUGGCGCGAGACUUUGCGAGGCACCUCCGUGUGCCAAAAAUAGGCCGCGGGCACAGCCACGGCCAAAAAUAACCUCCGGAAGGCCGGGGCGUCAAGUUCGUCAAGCGGAAAAAGCCCACAAAAACGGGUGGGCUAUAGCCUUGGGGGGUGGGGCUGGCCAACUUCGUCCGCCGGAUUCGGAAUGGCGCGAGACUUUGUAAGGCGCCUCAAUGUGCCAAAAAUAGGCCGCGGGCACAGCCGUGCAUAAAAAUAACCACCCGAAGGCCGGGGCGCCAAGUUCGUCCAGCGGAAAAAGCCCACAAAAACGGGUGGGCUAUAACCUUUGGGGGUGGGGCUGGCCAACUUCAUCCGCCGGACUCAGAAUGGCGCGAGACUUUGCGAGGCGCAUCCGUGUGCCAAAAAUAGGCCGUCGGCAGAGCCACGGCCAAAAAUAACCGCCCGAAGACCGGGGCGUCAAGUUCGUCAAGCGGAAAAAGCCCACCAAAACGGGUGGGCUAUAACUUUGGGGGGUGGGGCUGGCCAACUUCGUCUGCAGGACUCGGAAUAGCUCGAUCCAUUGCGAGGCGCCUCCGUGUGCCAAAAGUAGGCCACGGGCACAGCCGUAGCCAAAAAUAACCGCCCGAAGGCCGGGGCGACAAGUUCGUCCAGCGGAAAAAGGCCACAAAAACGGGUGGACUAUAUCCUUGGGGGGUGGGGCUGGCCAACAUCGUCCGCCGGACUUGGAAUGGAGUGAGACUUUGCGAGGCACCUCCGUGUGCCAAAAAGUGGCUGCGGGCACAGCCGUGCCCAAAAAUAACCUCCUGAAGGCCGGGGCGCCAAAUUCGUCCAGCGGAAAAAGGCCACAAAAACGGGUGGGCUAUAGCCUUGGGGGGUGGGGCUGGCCAACUUCGUCCGCCGGACUCGGAAUGGCGCGAGACUUUGCGAGGGAUCUCCGUGUACCAAAAAUAGGCCGCGGGCAAAGCCGCGUCCAAAAAUAACUGCCCGAAGGCCGGGGUGCUAAGUUCGUCCAGCGGAAAAAGGCCACAGAAACUGGUGGGCUAUAGCCUUGGGGGGUGGGGCUGGCCAACUUCGUCCGCCGGACUUGGAAUGCCGCAAGAUUUUAUGAGGGGCCUCUGUGUGCGAAAAAUAGGCCACGGGCAAAGCCGCACCCGAAAAUAACCGCCCGAAGGCCGGGGCGCCAAGUUCGUCCAGCGGAAAAAGGCAACAAAAACGGGUGGGCAAUAGCCUUGGGGGUGGAGCUGGCCAACUUCGUCCGCCGGACUCGUAAUGGCGUGAGACUUUGUGAGGCACCUCCGUGUGCCAAAAAUAGACCGCGGGCACAGCCGCGCCCAAAAAUAACCGCCCGAAGCCCGGGGCGCCAAGUUCGUCCAGCGGAAAAAGGCCACAAAAACGGAUGGGCUAUACCCUUGGGGGGUGGGGCUGGCCAACUUCGUCCGCCGGACUUGGAAUGCCGCGAGACUUUGCGAGGGGUCUCCGUGUACCAAAAAUAGGCUGCGGGGAAAGCCGCGUACAAAAAUAACCGCCCGAAGGCCGGGGUGCCAAGUUCGUCCAGCGGAAAAAGGCCACAGAAACGGGUGGGCUAUAGCCUUGGGGGGGGGGGCCGGCCCACUUCGUCCGCCCGGAAUCCGAAUNNNNNNNNNNNNNNNNNNNNNNNNNNNNNNNNNNNNNNNNNNNNNNNNNNNNNNNNNNNNNNNNNNNNNNNNNNNNNNNNNNNNNNNNNNNNNNNNNNNNNNNNNNNNNNNNNNNNNNNNNNNNNNNNNNNNNNNNNNNNNNNNNNNNNNNNNNNNNNNNNNNNNNNNNNNNNNNNCAAAUGGUGCGAGAGUUUGUGAGGCGCCUCCGUGUGCCAAAAAUAGGGCGCGGGCACAGCCGCGCCCAAAAAUAACCGCCCGAAGGCCGGGGCGCCAAGUUCGUCCAGCGGAAAAAGGCCACAAAAACGGGUGGGCUAUAGCCUUGGGGGAUGGGGCUGGCCAACUUUGUCCGCCGGACUCAGAAUGCCGCGAGACUUUGCGAGGGGCCUCCGUGUGCCAAAAAUAGGCCGCGGACAAAGCCGCACCCAAAAAUAACUGCCCGAAGGCCGGGGAGCCAAGUUCGUCCAGCGGAAAAAGGCCACAAAAACGGGUGGGCUAUAGCCUUGAGGGGUGGGGCUGGCCAACUUCGUCCGCCGGACUCGGAAUGCCGCGAGAUUUUAUGAGGGGCCUCUGUGUGCGAAAAAUAGGCCACGGGCAAAGCCGCACCCAAAAAUAACCGCCCGAAGGCCGGGGCGCCAAGUUCGUCCAGCGGAAAAAGGCCACAAAAACGGGUGGGCUAUAGCCUUGGGGGGUGGGGCUGGCCAACUUCGUCUGCCGGACUCAGAAUGCCGCGAGACUUUGCGAGGGGUCUCCGUGUACCAAAAAUAGGUCGCGNNNNNNNNNNNNNNNNNNNNNNNNNNNNNNNNNNNNNNNNNNNNNNNNNNNNNNNNNNNNNNNNNNNNNNNNNNNNNNNNNNNNNNNNNNNNNNNNNNNNGUUCGUCCAGCGGAAAAAGGCCACAAAAACGGGUGGGCUAUAGCCUUGGGGGGUGGGGCUGGCCAACUUUGUCUGCCGGACUCAGAAUGCCGCGAGACUUUGCGAGGGGUCUCCGUGUACCAAAAAUAGGUCGCGGGCAAAGCCGCGUCCAAAAAUAACCGGCCGAAGGCCGGGGCGCCAAGUUCGUCCAGCGGAAAAAGCCCACAAAAACGGGUGGGCUAUAGCCUUGGGGGGUGGGGCUGGCCAACUUCGUCUGCCGGACUCAGAAUGCCGCGAGACUUUGCGAGGGGCCUCUGUGUGCCAAAAAUAGGCCACGGGCAAAGCCGCGCCCGAAAAUAACCACCCGAAGGCCGGGGCGCCAAUCUCGUCCAGCGGAAAAAGGCCACAUAAACGGGUGGGCUAUAGCCUUGGGGGGUGGGGCUGGCCAACUUCGUCCGCCGGACUCGGAAUGCCGCGAGACUUUGCGAGGGGUCUCCGUGUGCCAAAAAUAUGCCGCGGGCAAAGCCGCGUCCAAAAAUAACCGCCCGAAGGACGGGGCGCCAAGUUCGUCCAGCGGAAAAAGCCUACAAAAACGGGUGGGCUAUAGCCUUGGGGGGUGGGGCUGGCCAACUUUGUCCGCCGGACUUGGAAUAACGUGAGACUUUACGAGGGGCCUCUGUGUGCCAAAAAUAGGCCACAGUCAAAGCCGCGCCCGAAAAUAACCGCCCGAAAGCCGGGGCUCCAAGUUCGUCCAGCGGAAAAAGGACACAAAAACGGGUGGGCUAUAGCCUUGGGGGGUGGGGCUGGCCAACUUCGUCCGCCGGAAUCGGAAUGCCGCGAGACUUUGCGAGGGGUCUCUGUGUACCAAAAAUAGGCCGCGGGGAAAGCCGCGUACAAAAAUAACCGCCCGAAGGCCGGGGUGCCAAGUUCGUCCAGCGGAAAAAGGCCACAAAAACGGGUGGGCUAUAGCCUUGGGGGGUGGGGCCGGCCAACUUCGUCCGCCGGACUCGGAAUGCCGCGAGACCUUGCGAGGGGCCUCCGUGUGCCAAAAAUAGGCCGUGGGCAAAGCGGCGUCCGAAAAUAACCACCCGAAAGCCGGGGCGCCAAGUUCGUCCAGCGGAAAAAGCCCACAAAAAGGGGUGGGCUAUAGCCUUGGGGGGUGGGGCUGGCCCACUUCGUCUGCCGGACUUGGAAUGCCGCGAGACUUUGCGAGGGGUAUCCGUGUACCAAAAAUAAGCCGCGGGGGAAGCCGCGUACAAAAAUAACCGCCCGAAAGGCGGGGUGCCAAGUUCCGUCAGCCGAAAAAGGCCACAAAAACGGNNNNNNNNNNNNNNNNNNNNNNNNNNNNNNNNNNNNNNNNNNNNNNNNNNNNNNNNNNNNNNNNNNNNNNNNNNNNNNNNNNNNNNNNNNNNNNNNNNNNNNGGGCACAGCCGCGCGCAAAAAUAACCGCCCGAAGGCCGGGGCGCGAAGUUCGUCCAGCGGAAAAAGGCCACAAAAACGGGUGGGCUAUAGCCUUGGGGGGUGGGGCCGGCCCACUUCGUCCGCCGGACUCAGAAUGGCGCGAGACAUUGCGAGCGGGCUCCGUAUGCUGAAAAUAGGCAGUGGGCACAGCCGCGCCCAAUAAUAACCGCCCGAAGGCCGGGGCGCCAAGUUCGUCCAGCGGAAAAAGGCCACAAAAACGGGUGGUCUAUAGCCUUGGGGGGUGCGGCUGGCCAACUUCGUCCGCCGGACUCGGAAUGGCGCGAGACUUUGCGAGCGGCCUCCAUGUGCCGAAAAUAGGCCACGGCCACAGCCGCGCACAAAAAUAACCGCCCGAAGGCCGGGGCGCGAAGUUCGUCCAGCGGAAAAAGGCCACGAAAACGGGUGGGCUAUAGCCUUGGGGGGUGGUGCUGGCCAACUUCGUCCGCCGGACUCGGAAUGGCGCGAGACUUUGCGAGCGCCCUCCGUGUGCCAAAAAUAGGCCGCGGGCAGAGCCGCGUCCAAAAAUAACCACCCGAAGGCCGGGGCGCCAAGUUCNNNNNNNNNNNNNNNNNNNNNNNNNNNNNNNNNNNNNNNNNNNNNNNNNNNNNNNNNNNNNNNNNNNNNNNNNNNNNNNNNNNNNNNNNNNNNNNNNNNNCAGCGGAAAAAGGCCACAAAAACGGGUGAGAUAUAGCCUUGGGGGGUGGAGCUGGCCAACUUCGUCUGCCGGACUUGGAAUGCCGCGAGAUUUUAUGAGGGGCCUCUGUGUGUGAAAAAUAGGCCGCGGGCAAAGCCGCACCCGAAAAUAACCGCCCGAAGGCCGGGGCGCCAAGUUCGUCCAGCGGAAAAAGGCCACAAAAACGGGUGGUCUAUAGCCUUGGGGGGUGCGGCUGGCCAACUUCGUCCGCCGGACUCGGAAUGGCGCGAGACUUUGCGAGCAGCCUCCAUGUGCCGAAAAUAGGCCACGGCCACAGCCGCGCACAAAAAUAACCGCCCGAAGGCCGGGGCGCGAAGUUCGUCCAGCGGAAAAAGGCCACAAAAACGGGUGGGCUAUAGCCUUGGGGGGUGGGGCCGGCCCACAUCGUCCGCCGGACUCAGAAUGGCGCGAGACUUUGCGAGCGGGCUCCGUAUGCCGAAAAUAGGCAGCGCGCACAGCCACGCCCAAUAAUAACUGCCCAAAGGCCGGGGCGCCAAGUUCGUCCGGCGGAAAAAGGCCACAAAAACGGGUGGUCUAUAGCCUUGGGGGGUGCGGCUGGCCAACUUCGUCUGCCGGACUCAGAAUGGCGUGAGACUUUGCGAGCGGGCUCCGUGUGCCAAAAAUAGGCCGCGGGCACAGCCGCGCGCAAAAAUAACCGCCCGAAGGCCGGGGCGCGAAGUUCGUCCAGCGGAAAAAGGCCACAAAAACGGGUGGGCUAUAGCCUUGGGGGGUGGGGCCGGCCAACUUCGUCCGCCGGACUCAGAAUGGCGCGAGACAUUGCGAGCGGGCUCCGUAUGCUGAAAAUAGGCAGCGGGCACAGCCGCGCCCAAUAAUAACCGCCCGAAGGCCGGGGCGCCAAGUUCGUCCAGCGGAAAAAGGCCACAAAAACGGGUGGUCUAUAGCCUUGGGGGGUGCGGCUGGCCAACUUCGUCCGCCGGACUCGGAAUGGCGCGAGACUUUGCGAGCGGCCUCCAUGUGCCAAAAAUAGGCCACGGCCACAGCCGCGCACAAAAAUAACCGCCCGAAGGCCGGGGCGCGAAGUUCGACCAGCGGAAAAAGGCCACAAAAACGGGUGGGCUAUAGCCUUGGGGGGUGGUGCUGGCCAACUUCGUCCGCCGGACUCGGAAUGCCGCGAGAUUUUACGAGGGGCCUCUGUGUGCGAAAAAUAGGCCACGGGCAAAGCCGUACCCAAAAAUAACCGCCCGAAGGCCGGGGCGCCAAGUUCGUCCAGCGGAAAAAGGCCACAAAAACGGGUGAGCUAUAGCCUUGGGAUGUGGGGCUGGCCAACUUCGUCUGCCGGACUUGGAAUGCCGCGAGAUUUUAUGAGGGGCCUCUGUGUGCGAAAAAUAGGCCACGGGCAAAGCCGCACCCGAAAAUAACCGCCCGAAGGCCGGGGCGCCAAGUUCGUCCAGCGGAAAAAGGCCACAAAAACGGGUGGUCUAUAGCCUUGGGGGGUGCGGCUGGCCAACUUCGUCCGCCGGACUCGGAAUGGCGCGAGACUUUGCGAGCAGCCUCCAUGUGCCGAAAAUAGGCCACGGCCACAGCCGCGCACAAAAAUAACCGCCCGAAGGCCGGGGCGCGAAGUUCGUCCAGCGGAAAAAGGCCACAAAAACGGGUGGGCUAUAGCCUUGGGGGGUGGGGCCGGCCCACUUCGUCCGCCGGACUCAGAAUGGCGCGAGACUUUGCGAGCGGGCUCCGUAUGCCGAAAAUAGGCAGCGCGCACAGCCACGCCCAAUAAUAACUGCCCGAAGGCCGGGGCGCCAAGUUCGUCCAGCGGAAAAAGGCCACAAAAACGGGUGGUCUAUAGCCUUGGGGGGUGCGGCUGGCCAACUUCGUCCGCCGGACUCGGAAUGGCGCGAGACUUUGUGAGCGGCCUCCGUGUGACAAAAAUAAGCCGCGGACACAGCCGCGCUAAAAAAAAACCGCCCGAAGGCCGGGGCGCCAAGUUUGUCCAGCGGAAAAAGGCCACAAAAACGGGUGGGCUAUAGCCUUGGGGGGUGGGGCUGGCCAACUUCGUCCGCCGGACUCGGAAUGGCGUGAGACUUUGCGUGCGGGCUCCGUGUACCAAAAAUAGGCCGCGGGCACAGCCGUGCCCAAAAAUAACCGCCCGAAGGCCGGGGCGCCAAGUUCAUCCAGCGGAAAAAGGCCACAAAAACGGGUGGGCUAUAGCCUUGGGGGGUGGGGCCGGCCAACUUCGGCCGCCGGACUCGGAAUGGGGCGAGACUUUGCGAGCGGCCUCCGUGUGCCAAAAAUAGGCCGCGGGCACCGCCGCACCCAAAAAUAAUCGCCCGAAGGCCGGGACGCCAAGUUCGUCCAGCGGAAAAAGGCCACAAAAACGGCUGGGCUAUAGCCUUGGGUGGUGGGGCUGGCCCACUUCGUCCGCCGGACUCGGAAUGCCGCGAGACUUUACGAACAGCCUCCGUGCCCCAAAAAUAGGCCGCGGGCACAGCCGCGCCCAAAAAUAACAGCCCGAAGGCCGGGGCGCAAAGUUCAUCCAGCGGAAAAAGGCCACAAAAACGGGUGGGCUAUAGCCUUGGGGGGUGGGGCUGGCCAACUUCGUCCGCCGGACUCGGAAUGGUGCGAGACUUUGCGAGCGGCCUCCGUGUGCCAAAAAUAGGCCGCGGAAACAGCCGCGCCCAAUAAUAACUGCCCGAAGGCCGGGGCGCCAAGUUCGUCCAGCGGAAAAAGGCCACAAAAACGGGUGGUCUAUAGCCUUGGGGGGUGCGGCUGGCCGACUUCGUCCGCCGGACUCGGAAUGGCGCGAGACUUUGUGAGCGGCCUCCGUGUGACAAAAAUAGGCCGCGGGCUCAGCCGCGCUAACAAAAAACCGCCCGAAGGCCGGGGCGCCAAGUUUGUCCAGCGGAAAAAGGCCACAAAAACGGGUGGGCUAUAGCCUUGGGGAGUGGGGCUGGCCAACUUCGUCCGCCGGACUCAGAAUGGCGUGAGACUUUGCGAGCGGGCUCCGUGUGCCGAAAAUAGGCCGCGGGCACAGCUGUGCCCAAAAAUAACCACCCGAAGGCCGGGGCGUCAAGUUCAUCCAGUGGAAAAAGGCCACAAAAACGGGUGGGCUAUAGCCUAGGGGGGUGGGGCCGGCCAACUUCGGCCGCCGGACUCGGAAUGGGGCGAGACUUUGCGAGCGGCCUCCGUGUGCCAAAAAUAGGCCGCAGGCACAGCCGCACCCAAAAAUAAUCGCCCGAAGGCCGGGACGCCAAGUUCGUCCAGCGGAAAAAGGCCACAAAAACGGGUGGGCUAUAGCCUUGGGGGGUGGGGCUGGCCCACUUCGUCCGCCGGACUCGGAAUGCCGCGAGACUUUACGAACGGCCUCCGUGUCCCAAAAAUAGUCCGCGGGCACAGCCGCGCCCAAAAAUAACAGCCCGAAGGCCGGGGCGCAAAGUUCGUCCAGCGGAAGAAGGCCACAAAAACGGGUGGGCUAUAGCCUUGGGGGGUGGGGCUGGCCCACUUCGUCCGCCGGACUCGGAAUGCCGCGAGACUUUACGAACGGCCUCCGUGUCCCAAAAAUAGGCCGCGGGCACAGCCGCGCCCAAAAAUAACAGCCCGAAGGCCGGGGCGCAAAGUUCAUCCAGCGGAAGAAGGCCACAAAAACGGGUGGGCUAUAGCCUUGGGGGGUGGGGCUGGCCAACUUCGUCCGCCGGACUCGGAAUGGUGCGAGACUUUGCGAGCGGCCUCCGUGUGCCAAAAAUAGGCCGCGGGCACAACCGCGCCCAAAAAUAACCGCCCGAUGGCCGGGGCGCCAUUUUCGUCCAGCGGAAAAAGGCCACAAAAAUGGGUGGGCUAUAGCCUUGGGGGGUGGGGCUGGCCAACUUCGUCCGCCGGACACGGAAUGGCGCGAGACUUUGCGAGAGGCCUCCGUGUGACAAAAAUAGGCUGUGGGUACAGCCCCGCCCAAAAAUAACCGCCCGAAUGGCCGGGGCGCCAAGUUCGUCCAGCGGAAAAAGGCCACAAAAACGGGUGGGCUAUAGCCUUGGGGUGUGGGGCUGGCCAACAUCAUCCGCCGGACUCGGAAUGACGCGAGACUUUUCGAGCGGCCUCCGUGUGCCAAAAAUAGGCCACGGGUACAGCUGCACCCAAAAAUAACCGCACGAAGGCCGGGGCGCCAAGUUCGUCCAGCGGAAAAAGGCCACAAAAACGGGUGGGCUAUAGCCUUGGGGGGUGGGGCUGGCCAAGUUCGUCCGCCGGACUCGGAAUGGCGCGAGACUUUGCGAGCAGCCUCCGUGUGCCAAAAAUAGGCCGCGGGCACAGCCGCGCCCAAAAAUAACUGCCCGAAGGCCGGGGCGCCAAGUUCGUCCUGGGGAAAAAUGCCACAAAAACGGGUGGGCUAUAGCCUUCGGGGGUGGGGCUGGCCGACUUCGUCCGCCGGACUCGGAAUGCCGCGAGACUUUGCGAGGGGCCUCCGUGUGCAGAAAAUAGGCCGCGGGCACAGCCGUGCUAAAAAAUAACAGCCCGAAGGCCGGGGCGCCAAGUUCGUCCAGCGGAAAAAUGCCACAAAAACGGGUGGGCUAUAGCCUUGGGGGGUGGGCUAUAGCCUUGGGGGGCGGGGCUGGCCAACUUCGUCCUCCGGACUCGGAACGGCGCGAGACUUUGCGAGGCACCUCCGUGUGCCAAAAAUAGGCCGCGGGCACAGCCGCGCCCAAAAAUAACCGCCCGAAAGCCGGGGCGCUAAGUUCGUCCAGCGGAAAAGGGCCACAAAAUCGGGUGGGCAAUAGCCUUGGGGGGUGGGGCUGGCCGACUUCCUCGGCUGGACUCGGAAUGGCGCGAGACUUUGCGAGGCAACUCCGUGUGCCAAAAAUAGGCAGCGGGCACAGACGCGCCCAAACAUAACUGCCCGAAGGCCGGGGCGCCAAGUUCGUCGAGCGGAAAAAGGCCACAGAAAUGGGUGGGCUAUUGCCUUGGGGGGUGGGGCUGGCAAACUUCGUCCGCCGGACUCGGAAUGGCGCGAGACUUUGCGAGCGGCCUCCAUGUGCCAAAAAUAGGCACGGGCACAGCCGCGCCAAAAAAUAACCGCUCGAAGGCCGGGGCGCGAAGUUCGUCCAGCGGAAAAAGGCCACAAAAACGGGUGGGCUAUAGCCUUGGGGGGUGGGGCUGGCCAACUUUGUCCGCCGGACUCGGAAUGGCGUGAGACUUUGCGAGCGGCCUCCAUGUGCCAAAAAUAGGCCACGGGCACAGCCGCACCCAAAAAUAACAGCCCGAAGGCCGGGGCGCGAAGUUCGUCCGGCUGAAAAAGGCCACAAAAACGGGUGGGCUAUAGCCUUGGGGGGUGGGGCUGGCCAACUUCGUCCGCCGGACUAGGAAUGGCGCGAGACUUUGCGAGCGGCCUCCAUGUGCCAAAAAUAGGCCACGGGCACAGCCGCACCCAAAAAUAACCGUCCGAAGGCCGGGGCGCGAAGUUCGUCCAGCGGAAAAAGGCCACAAAAACGGGUGGGCUAUAGCCUUGGGGGGUGGGGCUGGCCAACUUCGUCCGCCGAACUCGGAAUGCCGCGAUACUUUGUGAGCCGCCUCCGUGUGCCAAAAUUAGUCCGCGGGCAAUGCCGCGCCCAAAAAUAACCACCCGAAGGCCGGGGCGCUAGGUUCGUCCAGCGGAAAAAGGCCACAAAAACGGGUGGGCUAUAGCCUUGGGGGGUGGGGCUGGCCCACUUCGUCCGCCGGACUUGGAAUGCCGCGAGACUUUGCGAGGGGCCUCCAUGUGCCAAAAAUAGGCUGCGAACAAAGCCGGGCCCAAAAAUAACCGCCCGAAGGCCGGGGCACCAAGUUCGUCCAGCGGAAAAAGGCCACAAAAACGGGUGGGCUAUAGCCUUGGGGGGUGGGGCUGGCCAACUUCGUCCGCCGGACUCGGAAUGCCGCGAGACUUUGCGAGGGGACUCCGUGUACCAAAACUAGGCCGUGGGCAAACCCGUGCCCAAAAAUAACGGCCCGACGGCCGGGGCGCCAAGUUCGUCCAGCGGAAAAAGGCCACAAAAACGGGUGGGCUAUAGCCUUGGGGGGUGGGGCUGGCCAACUUCGUCCGCCGGACUCGGAAUGCCGCGAGACUUUACGAGGGGCCUCCGUGUGCCAAAAAUAGGGCGCCGACAAAGCUGCGCCCAAAAAUAACCGCCCGAAGGCCGGGGCGCCAAAUUCGUCCAGCGGAAAAAGGCCACAAAAACGGGUGGGCUAUAUCCUUGGGGGGUGGGGCUGGCCAACUUCGUCCGCCGGACUCGGAAUACCGCGAGACUUUGCGAGGGGCCUCCGUGUGCAGAACAUAGGCUGCGGGCAAAGCCGCGCCCAAAAAUAACCGCCCGAAGGCCGGGGCGCCAAGUUCGACCAGCGGAAAAAGGCAACAAAAACGGGUGGGCUAUAGCCUUGGGGGGUGGGGCUGGCCGACUUCGUCCGCCGGACUCGGAAUGCCGCGAGACUUUGCGAGGGGACUCCGUGUGCAGAAAAUAGGCCGCGGGCGAAGCCGCGCCCCAAAAUAACUGCCCAAAGGCCGGGGCGCCAAGUUCGUACAGCGGAAAAAGCCCACAAAAACGGGUGGGCUAUAGCCUUGGGGGGUGGGGCUGGCCGACUUCGUCCGCCGGACUCGGAAUGCCGCGAGACUUUGCGAGGGGCCUCCGUGUGCAGAAAAUAGGCUGCGGACGAAGCUGCGCCCCAAAGUAACUGCCCGAAGGCCGGGGCGCCAAGUUCGUCCAGCGGAAAAAGGCCACAAAAAUGGGUGGGCUAUAGCCUUGGGGGGUGGGGCUGGCCAACUUCGUGCGCCGGACUCGGAAUGCCACGAGACUUUGCGAGGGGCCUCCGUGUGCAGAAAAUAGGCUGCGGACGAAGCUGCGCCCCAAAGUAACUGCCCGAAGGCCGGGGCGCCAAGUUCGUCCAGCGGAAAAAGGCCACAAAAAAGGGUGGGCUAUAGCCUUGGGGGGUGGGGCUGGCCAACUUCGUCCGCCGGACUCGGAAUGCCGCGAGACUUUGCGAGGGGCCUCCAUGUGCAGAAAAUAGGCCGCGGGCGAAGCCGCGCCCCAAAAUAACUGCCCGAAGGCCGGGGCGCCAAGUUCGUCCAGCGGAAAAAGGCCACAAAAACGGGUGGGCUAUAGCCUUGGGGGGUGGGGCUGGCCAACUUCGUCCGCCGGACUCGGAAUGCCACGAGACUUUGCGAGGGGCCUCCGUGUGCAGAAAAUAGGCUGCGGACGAAGCUGCGCCCCAAAGUAACUGCCCGAAGGCCGGGGCGCCAAGUUCGUCCAGCGGAAAAAGGCCACAAAAAAGGGUGCGCUAUAGCCUUGGGGGUUGGGGCUGGCCAACUUCGUCCGCUGGGCUCGGAAUGCCGCGAGACUUUGCGAGGGUCCUCCGUGUACCUAACUAGGCCGCGGGCAAAGCCACGCCAAAAAAUAACCGCCCGAAGGCCGUGGCGCCAAGUUCGCCCUGCUGAAAAAGGCCACAAAAACGGGUGGGCUAUAGCCUUGGGGGGUGGGGCGGGCCAACUUCGUCCGCCGGACUCGGAAUGCCGCGAGACUUUGCCAGGGCCCUCCGUGUGCCAAAAAUAUGCCGCGGGCAAAGCCACGCCCAAAAAUACAUGCCCGAAGGCCGGGGUGCCAAGUUCGUCCAUCGGAAAAAGCCCACAAAAACGGGUGGGCUAUAGCCUUGGGGGGUGGGGCUGGCCGACUUCGUCCGCCGGACUCGGAAUGCCGCGAGACUUUACGAGGGGCCUCCGUGUGCCAAAAAUAGGCCGUGGGCAAAGGCGCGCUAAAAAAUAACCGCCCGAAGGCCGGGGCGCCAAGUUCGUCCAGCGGAAAAAGGCCACAAAAACGGGUGGGCUAUAGCCUUGGGGGGUGGGGCUGGCCAACUUCGUCCGCCGGAGUCGGAAUGCCGCGAGAGUUUGUGAGGGGCCUCCAUGUGCAGAAAAUAGGCCACGGGCGAAGCCGUGCGUAAAAAUAACUGCCCGAAGGCCGGGGCGCCAAGUUCGUCCAGCGGAAAAAGGCCACAAAAACGGGUGGGCUAUAGCCUUGGGGGGUGGGGCUGGCCAACUUCGUCCGCCGGGCUCGGAAUGCCGUGAGACUUGCGAGGGGCCUCCGUGUGCCAAAAAUAGGCCGCGGGCACAGCCGCGCCCAAAAAUAACCGCCCGAAGGCCGGGGCGCCAAGUUCGUCCAGCGGAAAAAGGCCACAAAAACGGGUGGGCUAUAGCCUUGGGGGGUGGGGCUGGCCAACUUCGUCCUCCGGACUCGGAAUGGCACGAGACUUUGUGAGGGGCCUCCGUGUACCAAAAAUAGGCUCCGGGCAAAGCCACGCCCAAAAAUAACAGCCCGAAGGCCGGGGCGCCAAGUUCGUCCAGCGGAAAAAGCCCACAAAAACGGGUGGGCUAUAGCCUUGGGGGGUGGGGCUGCCCAACUUCGUCCGCCGGACCCGGAAUGGCGCGAGACUUUGCUAGAGGCCUCCAUGUGCCAAGAAUAGGCCGCGGGUACAGGCGCGCCCAAAAAUUAUCGCCCGAAGGCCGGGGCGCCAAGUUCGUCCAGCGGAAAAAGGCCACAAAAACGGGUGGGCUAUAGCCUUGGGGGGUGGGGCUGGCCAACUUCGUCCUCCGGACUCGGAAUGGUACGGGACUUUGUGAGGGGCCUCCUUGUGCCAAAAUAGGCCGCGGGCAAAGCCGCGCCCAAAAAUAACCGCCCGAAGGCCGGGGCGCCAGGUUCGUCCAGUGGAAAAAGGCCACAAAAACGGGUGGGCUAUAGCCUUGGGGGGUGGGGCUGGCCAACUUCGUCCGCCGGACCCGGAAUGGCGCGAGACUUUGCUAGAGGCCUCCAUGUGCCAAGAAUAGGCCGCGGGUACAGGCGCGCCCAAAAAUUAUCGCCCGAAGGCCGGGGCGCCAAGUUCGUCCAGCGGAAAAAGGCCACAAAAACGGGUGGGCUAUAGCCUUGGGGGGUGGGGCUGGCCAACUUCGUCCUCCGGACUCGGAAUGGUACGGGACUUUGUGAGGGGCCUCCUUGUGCCAAAAUAGGCCGCGGGCAAAGCCGCGCCCAACAAUAACCGCCCGAAGGCCGGGGCGCCAAGUUCGUCCAGCGGAAAAAGGCCACAAAAAUGGGUGGGCUAUAGCCUUGGGGGGUGGGGCUGGCCAACUUCGUCCUCCGGACUCGGAAUGGCACGGUACUUUGUGAGGGGCCUCCUUGUGCCAAAAAUAGGCCGCGGACAAAGCCGCGCCCAAAAAUAACCGCCCGAAGGCCGGGGCGCCAGGUUCGUCCAGCGGAAAAAUGCCACAAAAACGGGUGGGCUAUAGCCUUGGGGGGUGGGGCUGGCCAACUUCGUCCGCCGGACUCGGAAUGCCGCGAGACUUUGCGAGUGGCCUCCGUGUGCCAAGAAUAGGCCGCGGGCAAGCCGCGCCCAAAAAUAACCGCCCGAAGGCCGGGGCGCCAGGUUUGUCCAGCGGAAAAAGGCCACAAAAACGGGUGGGCUAUAGCCUUGGGGGGUGGGGCUGCCCAACUUCGUCCGCCGGACCCGGAAUGGCGCGAGACUUUGCGAGCGGCCUCCGUGGGCCAAAAAUAGGGCGCGGGGACAGCCGCGCCCAAAAAUAACCGCCCGAAGGCCGGGGCACCAAGUUCGUCCAGCGGAAAAAGGCCACAAAAACGGGUGGGCUAUAGCCUUGGGGGGUAGGCAGGCCAACUUCGUCCGCCGGACUCGGAAUGACGCGAGACUUUGCAAGGCGCCUCCGUGUGCCAAAAAUAGGCCGCGGGUACAGCCGCGCCCAAAAAUAACCACCCGAAGGCCGGGGCGCCAAGUUCGUCCAGCGGAAAAAGGCCACAAAAACGGGUGGGCUAUAGCCUUGGGGAGUGGGGCUGCCCAACUUCGUCCGCCGGUCCCGGAAUGGCGCGAGACUUUGCUAGCGGCCUCCGUGUGCCAAAAAUAGGCCGCGGGGACAACCGCGCCCGAAAAUAACCGCCCGAAGGCCGGGGCGCCAAGUUCGUCCAGCGGAAAAAGGCCACAAAAACGGGUGGGCAAUAGCCUUCGCGGGUGGGGCUGGCCAACUUUGUCCACCGGACUCGGAAUGGCGCGAGACUUUUCGAGGCGCCUCCGUGUGCCAAAAAUAGGCCGCGGGCACAGCCGCUCCCAAAAAUAACUGCCCGAAGGCCGGGGCGCCAAGUUCGUCCAGCGGAAAAAAGCCAGAAAAACGGGUGGGCUAUAGCCUUGGGGGGUGGGGCUGGCCAACUUCGUCCGCCGGACUCGGAAUGCCGCGAGACUUUGCGAGGGGCCUCCGUGUGCCAAAAAUAGGCUCCGGGCAAAGCCACGCCCAAAAAUAACAGCCCGAAGGCCGGGGCGCCAAGUUCGUCCAGCGGAAAAAGGCCACAAAAACGGGUGGGCUAUAGCCUUGGGGGGUGGGGCUGCCCAACUUCGUCCGCCGGACCCGGAAUGGCGCGAGACUUUGCGAGGUGCCUCCAUGUGUCAAAAAUAGGCCGUGGGCACAGCCGCUCCCAAAAAUAACUGCCCGAAGGCCGGGGCGCCAAGUUCGUCCAGCGGAAAAAGGCCACAAAAACGGGUGGGCUAUAGCCUUCGGGGGUGGGGCUGGCCAACUUUUUCCGCCGGACUCGGAAUGGCGCGAGACUUUGCGAGGUGCCUCCGUGUACCAAAAAUAGGCCGCGGGCACAGCCGCUCCCAAAAAUAACUGCCCGAAGGCCGGGGCGCCAAGUUCGUCCGGCGGAAAAAAGCCACAAAAACGGGUGGGCCAUAGCCUUGGGGGGUGGGGCUGGCCAACUUCGUCCGCCGGGCUCGGAAAGGCGCGAGACCUUACGAGGCUCCUCCGUGUGCCAAAAAUAGGCCGCGGGCACAGCCGCGCCCAAAAAUAACCGACCAAAGGCCGGGGCGCCAAGUAUGUCCAGUGGAAAAAGGCCACAAAAACGGGUGGGCUAUAGCCUUGGGGGGUGGGGCUAGCCAACGUCGUCCGCCGGACACGGAAUGGCGCGAGACUUCGCGAGGCGCCUCCGUGUGCCAAAAAUAGGCCGCGGGGACAGCCGCGCAUAAAAAUAACCGCCCGAAGGCCGGGGCGCCAAGUUCGUCCAGCGNNNNNNNNNNNNNNNNNNNNNNNNNNNNNNNNNNNNNNNNNNNNNNNNNNNNNNNNNNNNNNNNNNNNNNNNNNNNNNNNNNNNNNNNNNNNNNNNNNNNUGGGCUAUAGCAUUGGGGGGUGGGGCUGGCCAACUUCGUCCGUCGGACUCGGAAUGCCGCGAGACUUUGCGAGUGGCCUCCGUGUGCCAAGAAUAUGCCGCGGCCACAGCCACGCCCAAAAAUAACCACCCGAAGGAUGGGGCGCCAAGUUCGUCCAGCAGAAAAAGGCCACAAAAACGGGUGGGCUAUAGCCUUGGGGGGUGGGGCUGGCCAACUUCGUCCGCCGGACUCGGAAUGGUGCGAGACUUUGCGAGCGGCCUCCGUGUGCCAAAAAUAGGUCACGGACACAGCCGUACCCAAAAAAAACCACCCGAAGGCCGAGGUGCCAAGUUCGUGCAGCGGAAAAAGGCCACAAAAACGGGUGGGCCAUAGCCUUGGGGGGUGGGGCUGGCCAACUUUGUCCGCCGGACUUGGAACGGUGUGAGACUUUGCGAGGCGCCUCUGUGUGCCAAAAAUAGGCCCCGGACAAAGCCACGCCCAAAAAUAACAGCCCGAAGGCCGGGGCGCCAAGUUCGUCCAGCGGAAAAAGGCCACAAAAACGGGUGGGCUAUAGCCUUGGGGGGUGGGGCUGCCCAACUUCGUCCGCCGGACCCGGAAUGGCGCGAGACUUUGCGAGCGGCCUCCGUGUACCAAAAAUAGGCCGCGGGUACAGCCACGCCCAAAAAUAACAGCCCGAAGGCCGGGGCGCCAAGUUCGUCCAGCGGAAAAAGGCCACAAAAACGGGUGGGCUAUAGCCUUGGGGGGUAGGGCUGCCCAACUUCGUCCGCCGGACCCGGAAUGGCGCGAGACUUUGCUAGAGGCCUCCAUGUGCCAAGAAUAGGCCGCGGGUACAGGCGCGCCCAAAAAUUAUCGCCCGAAGGCCGGGGCGCCAAGUUCGUCCAGCGGAAAAAGGCCACAAAAACGGGUGGGCUAUAGCCUUGGGGGGUGGGGCUGGCCAACUUCGUCCUCCGGACUCGGAAUGGUACGGGACUUUGUGAGGGGCCUCCUUGUGCCAAAAUAGGCCGCGGGCAAAGCCGCGCCCAAAAAUAACCGCCCGAAGGCCGGGGCGCCAAGUUCGUCCAGCGGAAAAAGGCCACAAAAACGGGUGGGCUAUAGCCUUGGGGGGUGGGGCUGGUCAACUUCGUCCUCCGGACACGAAAUGGCACGGGACUUUGUGAGGGGCCUCCUUGUGCCAAAAAUAGGCCGCGGACAAAGCCGCGCCCAAAAAUAACCGCCCGAAGGCCGGGGCGCCAGGUUCGUCCAGCGGAAAAAUGCCACAAAAAUGGGUGGGCUAUAGCCUUGGGGGGUGGGGCUGGCCAACUUCGUCCGCCAGACUCGGAAUGCCGCGAGACUUUGCGAGCGGCCUCCGUGUGCCAAGAAUAGGCCGCGGGCAAGCCGCGCCCAAAAAUAACCGCCCGAAGGCCGGGGCGCCAGGUUUGUCCAGCGGAAAAAGGCCACAAAAACCGGUGGGCUAUAGCCUUGGGGGGUGGGGCUGCCCAACUUCGUCCGCCGGACCCGGAAUGGCGCGAGACUUUGCGAGCGGCCUCCGUGUGCCAAAAAUAGGCCGCGGGGACAGCCGCGCCCAAAAAUAACCGCCCGAAGGCCGGGGCACCAAGUUCGUCCAGCGGAAAAAGGCCACAAAAACGGGUGGGCUAUAGCCUUGGGGGGUAGGCAGGCCAACUUCGUCCGCCGGACUCGGAAUGGCGCGAGACUUUGCGAGGCGCCUCCGUGUGCCAAAAAUAGGCCACGGGUACAGCCGCGCCCAAAAAUAACCACCCGAAGGCCGGGGCGCCAAGUUCGUCCAGCGGAAAAAGGCCACAAAAACGGGUGGGCUAUAGCCUUGGGGAGUGGGGCUGCCCAACUUCGUCCGCCGGUCCCGGAAUGGCGCGAGACUUUGCUAGCGGCCUCCGUGUGCCAAAAAUAGGCCGCGGGGACAACCGCGCCCGAAAAUAACCGCCCGAAGGCCGGGGCGCCAAGUUUGUCCAGCGGAAAAAGGCCACAAAAACGGGUGGGCUAUAGCCUUCGCGGGUGGGGCUGGCCAACUUUGUCCACCGGACUCGGAAUGGCGCGAGACUUUUCGAGGCGCCUCCGUGUGCCAAAAAUAGGCCGCGGGCACAGCCGCUCCCAAAAAUAACUGCCCGAAGGCCGGGGCGCCAAGUUCGUCCAGCGGAAAAAGGCCACAAAAUUGGGUGUGCUAUAGCCUUGGGGGGUGGGGCUGCCCAACUUCGUCCGCCGGUCCCGGAAUGGCGCGAGACUUUGCUAGCGGCCUCCGCGUGCCAAUAAUAGGCCGCGGGGACAACCGCGCCCGAAAAUAACCGCCCGAAGGCCGGGGCGCCAAGUUCGUCCAGCGGAAAAAGGCCACAAAAACGGGUGGGCUAUAGCCUUGGGGGGUGGGGCUGGCCAACUUUGUCCGCCGGACUCGGAAUGGCGCGAGACUUUGCGAGGUGCCUCCAUGUGUCAAAAAUAGGCCGCGGGCACAGCCGCUCCCAAAAAUAACCGCCCGAAGGCCGGGGCGCCAAGUUCGUCCAGCGGAAAAAGGCCACAAAAACGGGUGGGCUAUAGCCUUCGGGGGUGGGGCUGGCCAACUUUUUCCGCCGGACUCGGAAUGGCGCGAGACUUUGCGAGGUGCCUCCGUGUACCAAAAAUAGGCCGCGGGCACAGCCGCUCCCAAAAAUAACUGCCCGAAGGCCGGGGCGCCAAGUUCGUCCAGCGGAAAAAAGCCACAAAAACGGGUGGGCCAUAGCCUUGGGGGGUGGGGCUGGCCAACUUCGUCCGCCGGGCUCGGAAAGGCGCGAGACCUUACGAGGCUCCUCCGUGUGCCAAAAAUAGGCCGCGGGCACAGCCACGCCCAAAAAUAACCGACCAAAGGCCGGGGCGCCAAGUAUGUCCAGUGGAAAAAGGCCACAAAAACGGGUGGGCUAUAGCCUUGGGGGGUGGGGCUAGCCAACGUCGUCCGCCGGACUCGGAAUGGCGCGAGACUUCGCGAGGCGCCUCAGUGUGCCAAAAAUAGGCCGCGGGGACAGCCGCGCAUAAAAAUAACCGCCCGAAGACCGGGGCGUCAAGUUCGUCCAGCGAAAAAAGGCAACAAAAACGGGUGGGGUAUAN
rnacentral:lncRNA from 1 species